GACGAACGCUGGCGGCGUGCUUAACACAUGCAAGUCGAACGGAAAGGCCCUGCUUUUGUGGGGUGCUCGAGUGGCGAACGGGUGAGUAACACGUGAGUAACCUGCCCUUGACUUUGGGAUAACCUCAGGAAACUGGGGCUAAUACCGGAUAGGAGCUCCUGCUGCAUGGUGGGGGUUGGAAAGUUUCGGCGGUUGGGGAUGGACUCGCGGCUUAUCAGCUUGUUGGUGGGGUAGUGGCUUACCAAGGCUUUGACGGGUAGCCGGCCUGAGAGGGUGACCGGCCACAUUGGGACUGAGAUACGGCCCAGACUCCUACGGGAGGCAGCAGUGGGGAAUAUUGCACAAUGGGCGGAAGCCUGAUGCAGCAACGCCGCGUGCGGGAUGACGGCCUUCGGGUUGUGAACCGCUUUCGCCUGUGACGAAGCGUGAGUGACGGUAAUGGGUAAAGAAGCACCGGCUAACUACGUG
rnacentral:rRNA from 1 species